GACGGAGGGAGCAAGCGUUGGUCGGCAUCACUGGGCGUAAAGCGCGUGUCGGCGGUCCGAUAAGUCGAGUGUGAAAGCCCGAGGCUGAACCUCGGAAGUGCAUUCGAAACUGUCGGGCUUGAGUACGGGAGAGGGAAGUGGAAUUCCUGGUGUAGAGGUGAAAUUCGUAGAUAUCAGGAGGAACACCGGUGGCGAAGGCGGCUUCCUGGACCGAUACUGACGCUGAGACGCGAAAGCGUGGGGAGCAAACAGG
rnacentral:rRNA from 1 species